ACGGGUGAGUAAUGUAUCGGAACGUGCCUAGUAGCGGGGGAUAACUACGCGAAAGCGUAGCUAAUACCGCAUACGCCCUACGGGGGAAAGCAGGGGAUCGUAAGACCUUGCACUAUUAGAGCGGCCGAUAUCGGAUUAGCUAGUUGGUGGGGUAACGGCUCACCAAGGCGACGAUCCGUAGCUGGUUUGAGAGGACGACCAGCCACACUGGGACUGAGACACGGCCCAGACUCCUACGGGAGGCAGCAGUGGGGAAUUUUGGACAAUGGGGGAAACCCUGAUCCAGCCAUCCCGCGUGUGCGAUGAAGGCCUUCGGGUUGUAAAGCACUUUUGGCAGGAAAGAAACGUCAUGGGUUAAUACCCCGUGAAACUGACGGUACCUGCAGAAUAAGCACCGGCUAACUACGUGCCAGCAGCCGCGGUAAUACGUAGGGUGCAAGCGUUAAUCGGAAUUACUGGGCGUAAAGCGUGCGCAGGCGGUUCGGAAAGAAAGAUGUGAAAUCCCAGAGCUUAACUUUGGAACUGCAUUUUUAACUACCGGGCUAGAGUGUGUCAGAGGGAGGUGGAAUUCCGCGU
rnacentral:rRNA from 1 species